rnacentral:rRNA from 1 species
CCCUUAGAUGUCCUGGGCCGCACGCGCGCUACACUGAACGGAUCAGCGCGUUUUCCCUUCCCGAGAGGGACGGGUAACCUGCUGAACCCCAUUCGUGGUAGGGAUCGGGGCUUGCAAUUAUUCCCCGUGAACCAGGAAUGCCCAGUAAGUGCAAGUCAUAAGCUUGCGUUGAUUACGUCCCUGCCCUUUGUACACACCGCCCGUCGCUACUACCGAUUGAACGUUUUAGUGAGGUACUCGGACUGAGCCUCAGAAGAUUCACGUCUUUUGUGCUGCUCGGGAAGAUUCCCAAACUUGAGCGUUUAGAGGAAGUAAAAGUCGUAACA